GUCUGUAAGGAAAACUAGGACCACAAAGAGCACAUUAAUUUCUCAGUUUAUUAGUAAAACCAAAAAGCACAUAAAUAUCAAUUAAGAAAUUGAGUGAAUAACUGCGAGUCACCAGACUUGAGAAAGCUAUCAAUUUCUUCCAAGGAAUCCUAAACUAUGAGAGUGGGCAGCAAGCUUAGUUGGGGUCCCUGAUUACAUAUGGACCUGCCCGAAGCAAAAGCUGGCUUUACCUGAGGCUGUGCUGUUGAAAAUAUGUACCUGGUCCAGGCAGGGUGUGCCGAACUUCUGUCCCCUCAUGAUUUUUAUCUGUUAAAGGGGCACCUAAUUAACUUCUGUGGCACUAGGAAUUUCUGGGGUUCACACUAGGCAAGUACAGUACCAUUGAGCUACACCUCAGAGCCCCGAGGAACCUUUAAUUAUUAAAGUAGUAUUUUGGACAGCAGACGAGCUUCGUUGGUAGAGUGCUUACUCAGCUUGUACCACAUAAAACUAGGUGUGCCCUGCAACCCCAGCACUUAGGGAGCGGAGGCAGGUGGAUCAGGAGUCCAAGGUCAUUCUUGGCUACACUGGGAGUUCAGGAGAACUAGGCCACAUGAGACUCUAUCUCAAACAAGAAAACUAGUAAGUUAACACAGACAGCAUCCGGGGGUAAAACGCCAGCAGGCGUUCAUUACCCUUAACCUCUGACUGAACUAAGGAUCAACUGCCUUAUAUGUACAAGCUAAACAGAGAAAAACAUUCCAUUUGCCAUAUGAAGAAAAUGGAGUAAGAAAACGUUCACAUAUUAGCGCUGCAUCUGGAGAGUUGGCUCCGUGGUUUAGAGCACUGGCUGCUCUUUUGGAGGACUGGGGUUCAAUUCCCAGCACCCACAUGACAGUUCACAACUGUAAAUCCAGUUCCAGUAGAUCUGGCAACCUCACAAAUGUACAUAAAUAUAAAUAUAUCUUAGAAAAAAAAAACAGAAAACCAUGAAAAAUAUUUUAAAAAAUUAUUAAGCCAGACAAAAUCAACACUGACUUCUGUAAAAAUCUAAAAGUAAGGAGAAAGUGAGAUAUGAACACACUUCACAAGUGGGUGUUAACUGAUGGUCACAGUGAGGUAGCUGCCAGGCAGGCAGGCAGGUAGGAGCCAUGGAGAGGAGGAAGGCGAGCUCCUCACAAUCCACGCUUACAGAAAACUGCUCCUGGCAGGCUGGGUGCAAGGACUGCAAAGUGUCGACACGGCACGUUAUAAUCCUGUGGUUCAGAGCUGGUAAGUGGAUGGUAUUUCCAUAUGCAGAUGAGUAGUUCCAUGUGGAGAUGUUUGCUGACUUUUUCCCCAAUAAGAAGACAAAGUACAGAGCGUGGGGAUGAAACACAAGCAGGCUUCAAUUACCAAUGUUACCAAUGGCCCACGGCGGUUACGUAUUUUUCUGUAUUCUACCAAAAAUGCUUACUUAAUAAAUAGCAAAUAAUAAAUUUAUUUGACAACUGAUCUUUACUUUCGAUUUUCUGGUAUUUAACCAAGGGAAGUGAGCACUUUAAGCCUUGAGUUUUAGCUCCUGCACUCAGGAGACCCAGAUAACUAUAUUCUGGAAGGCUUUUCUUCCUUCUAGUUUCCCUUUUUGCCCACUGCAUUCUCUGAAAACUACUAUAAAAGAUGCCAUUUUAUUGCCUUUAUUAUUAUAGACGGGCCCACCAGCUUCGGCCCAACGAUUCUCGUAUGCUGGUUGCCUUAGGAGAAUGUUAUGAGAAACUCAAUCAACUAGUGGAAGCCAAAAAGUGUUAUUGGAGAGCAUACGCUGUCCAAGAAUGCUAAGAAUGAAGGUUACACUGAGAAGGUGCCUUCCUGAUGCCCAGGCUGGCCCUGGACUCACUGUCACCCUCAGGGUCAGUCUCUUGGAGUCUGUGGAUAAGAGACUGUCUAUUUCCCCUUUUAUUAUAUAAAAUAUUGAUGAACAUGUAGUCUUGAGAUUAUUAAUGUAUUAGAUUGUUAGACAGGACCUUAUAUAACACACUGGGGACAAAUGACUAUACAGCUGAGGAGGACCUUCAGUUUUUGUUUUACUUGUAUGAGUGCUUUGCCUGUGUGUGUGCACUCCGUGUGGGUGCCUGGUGCUCACUGAGGUCAAAAGAGGGCAUUCGACCCCCUGAAACUGGAGUUACAGAUGAUUGUAAAUUUCCAUGUGGGAGUUGAAUAAAACUCAAGAUUCUCUGAAGAGCAGCGAAUGUUCCUAACUGUUGAGCCAUCUCCCUAGCUGUGAAUUUGAAUUUCUGAUACCCUUGCCUCAAAUUCCUGAAUGCUAAGAUUCCAUGUGGGGAGGAGAAGGCACAAGGAUGUGAAGUCCAGAGUAAUUGUGUGUUGUUAAUAUGGGCAAGCCUAUGUCAAGGACCCCACAGACUCAGACGCAUGGGAAAUGGCACAGCCUUUUCUCCUGGUCUGAGUGUGAAUUCUGAUGGUGUGUACAGAUAAUGGCCACCACAGCUUUCUCCCUCUGGCCUGAUGUUUAUGCCUUGAAGGCAGCUCUCCUGUAGAGGCUGUCCCUACUGAAAUGAGCUAAACCUGACUCCUUGUCUGUCUGUUAGCAAUAACUUCACCUCCUUGUUUAACACUGUACAAUAAACACGCUGAGCAC